rnacentral:lncRNA from 1 species
AAUUGUGUAUGUUCUAUAUUGUAUGGUUUUACUUGUUCAAACCAUUUUAUUCCUAAUAUUAUAUCUGCUUUUUGCAUUUCUUCCUUUAUUUCAAAUUCUAUUUUUAUUUUUCUGACUCCUAGGAGUGCCUCUCGAUCUAGUGCCUCUGGCGACGAGUUCGCCUGAAAGUGCUAACCUGGAGUGCCUCUCGAUCUAGUCUCUCUCUCCCUUCGCUACUCUCCACCUCUCUCUCUGUUCGAUGUGUGUGCUGCGAGAUUUCUGAGUGUAGUAUGUGGGUGUACGGUGGUGAAUCAAAGAGAAUCAAGUGAUUGAGUAUCUCCUUUUUCGUUUUAUCCCUGAUAUGUGUGUAUUGAUGUAUGAAGAAAAGGGUAUGUCUGUUCAAUCAUGUUGCUGGGUGGAAAAUUUUUUGUGUAUGGGUAGGUAUUCUGGGAAGGUCUUGUAUGCAUAUGGGUUUCGUGAGUGUAUGUGAGGUGUCUUAUUUUUUGUUGUUUAUGUGUUGGUUAAAAGGAAUCAACAAUGUGAGGGGUGGUGACGUGAGUGGGGGAUGGGGUAGUGGUAGGGUAGGUGAGGUGUAAGUUGGUUAGAAUAAAGUGAAAAAUGGCUAUUCUUGAUUGGGAAGGUUGUUAUAACUUUGUUAUUUUUUGUCUUUUUGUAGGGUAUAAUUAUAUGGACGAGGGUACACAGUAGAAUAAGGUAAAUAGGCAAAAAAUAUCUUUUGGAGGGACAAAAUUACGUGUCUACAGCAUGCCCCCUUUGAAUGUAAAUACAAAGUAUUUUCAGACAAAGAAGUAGACAAUGAGACAGAAUUUUAUCCCAACCAUUAGUCAAAAGAAUGAAACAGAAGGAGGGAGGGAGGCCAAGUCUUGAUAUAGCCUAUCCUACCUGCCCAAGUUAUAAGGGAAUCAAGUCUCGGGUAUCUCAAAGGAUUGGAAAGAGAAGGACUAUACCGAGUUGGAGAGUCGAGUGAGGUUCCAUCGAGGUUUUGGUCGCGGCUCUGUCAUUACAUCAAAAAUGACAAAAUUACAAGAGUUCAAAAGAUAAAUAAAAUUACAAAAGUCCUAUCUAUGCAGCUUCUUUUGAACUCUUGACUUGAGUUUCAUCACCCUAUUCUUUAGGCGGGCUCCUGACUUGCAAUUUCUUCAACUUGUUGACUACUUUAAGUUUCUUCACUCUGUUCUCCAAGUGGGCUCCUGACUUGCUAUUUUUCAAUCUGUUAACUUUCAACUUAUUUGCCCUGCUCUUCAGGCGGGAUCCUGACUUUCCGUUUCAUCAACUUUCAAUUACAUCACCCUGUUCUUCAGGCGGACGCCUGAGCUUCAAUUUUAUCACCCCAUUUUUCAGAUGGGCUCCUGACUUUCAAUUUCAUCACCCUAUUCUUCAGGCGGGCUCCUAAACAAAAAUCAAAACUAGAACGAAAAUUAAUCAAAAUCAAAACUAUAACUAAAAAUAUCCCACACAAGGAUUAUCAUAAGGCAAUAUUUCAUUUUUGAAAGCGUGGUGCCAUUUUUCAGGAGGGACCCAAACAAAAAGUAAAAUCUCAUUUUUUAGGAGGGUCCUGAACAGAAAGUAAAAUCUCAUUUUUCGGGAGGGUCCUGAACAGAAAAUAAAAUCCCAUUUUUCAGGAAGGCCCUGAACAGAAAGUAAAAGCCCAUUUUUUAGGAGGGUCCUGAAUAGAAAGUAAAAGCCCAUUUUUUAGGAGGGUCCUGAACAUAAAGUGAAAUCCCAUUUUUCAAGAGGGUCCUGAAUAUAAAGUAAAAUCCCAUUUUUCAGGAGGAUCCUGAACAGAAAGUAAAAUCUUAUUUUUCAGGAGGGUCCUGAACAUAAAGUAAAAUUCCAAUUUCCAGAAGGGUCCUGAACAUAAAGUAAAAUCCCAUUUUCCAAGAGGGUCCUGAACAGAAAGCAAAAUCCCAUUUUUCAGGAGGGGCCUGAACAGAAAAUAAAAUCCUAUUUUUCAGGAGGGUCCUGAACAGAAAAUAAAAUCCUAUUUUUCAGGAGGGUCCUGAACAGAAAAUAAAAUCCUAUUUUUCAGGAGGGUCCUGAACAGAAAAUAAAAUCCUAUUUUUCAGGAGGGUCCUGAACAGAAAAUAAAAUCCUAUUUUUCAGGAGGGUCCUGAACAGAAAAUAAAAUCCUAUUUUUCAGGAGGGUCCUGAACAGAAAAUAAAAUCCUAUUUUUCAGGAGGGUCCUGAACAGAAAAUAAAAUCCUAUUUUUCAGGAGGGUCCUGAACAGAAAAUAAAAUCCUAUUUUUCAGGAGGGUCCUGAACAGAAAAUAAAAUCCUAUUUUUCAGGAGGGUCCUGAACAGAAAAUAAAAUCCUAUUUUUCAGGAGGGUCCUGAACAGAAAAUAAAAUCCUAUUUUUCAGGAGGGUCCUGAACAGAAAAUAAAAUCCUAUUUUUCAGGAGGGUCCUGAACAGAAAAUAAAAUCCUAUUUUUCAGGAGGGUCCUGAACAGAAAAUAAAAUCCUAUUUUUCAGGAGGGUCCUGAACAGAAAAUAAAAUCCUAUUUUUCAGGAGGGUCCUGAACAGAAAAUAAAAUCCUAUUUUUCAGGAGGGUCCUGAACAGAAAAUAAAAUCCUAUUUUUCAGGAGGGUCCUGAACAGAAAAUAAAAUCCUAUUUUUCAGGAGGGUCCUGAACAGAAAAUAAAAUCCUAUUUUUCAGGAGGGUCCUGAACAGAAAAUAAAAUCCUAUUUUUCAGGAGGGUCCUGAACAGAAAAUAAAAUCCUAUUUUUCAGGAGGGUCCUGAACAGAAAAUAAAAUCCUAUUUUUCAGGAGGGUCCUGAACAGAAAAUAAAAUCCUAUUUUUCAGGAGGGUCCUGAACAGAAAAUAAAAUCCUAUUUUUCAGGAGGGUCCUGAACAGAAAAUAAAAUCCUAUUUUUCAGGAGGGUCCUGAACAGAAAAUAAAAUCCUAUUUUUCAGGAGGGUCCUGAACAGAAAAUAAAAUCCUAUUUUUCAGGAGGGUCCUGAACAGAAAAUAAAAUCCUAUUUUUCAGGAGGGUCCUGAACAGAAAAUAAAAUCCUAUUUUUCAGGAGGGUCCUGAACAGAAAAUAAAAUCCUAUUUUUCAGGAGGGUCCUGAACAGAAAAUAAAAUCCUAUUUUUCAGGAGGGUCCUGAACAGAAAAUAAAAUCCUAUUUUUCAGGAGGGUCCUGAACAGAAAAUAAAAUCCUAUUUUUCAGGAGGGUCCUGAACAGAAAAUAAAAUCCUAUUUUUCAGGAGGGUCCUGAACAGAAAAUAAAAUCCUAUUUUUCAGGAGGGUCCUGAACAGAAAAUAAAAUCCUAUUUUUCAGGAGGGUCCUGAACAGAAAAUAAAAUCCUAUUUUUCAGGAGGGUCCUGAACAGAAAAUAAAAUCCUAUUUUUCAGGAGGGUCCUGAACAGAAAAUAAAAUCCUAUUUUUCAGGAGGGUCCUGAACAGAAAAUAAAAUCCUAUUUUUCAGGAGGGUCCUGAACAGAAAAUAAAAUCCUAUUUUUCAGGAGGGUCCUGAACAGAAAAUAAAAUCCUAUUUUUCAGGAGGGUCCUGAACAGAAAAUAAAAUCCUAUUUUUCAGGAGGGUCCUGAACAGAAAAUAAAAUCCUAUUUUUCAGGAGGGUCCUGAACAGAAAAUAAAAUCCUAUUUUUCAGGAGGGUCCUGAACAGAAAAUAAAAUCCUAUUUUUCAGGAGGGUCCUGAACAGAAAAUAAAAUCCUAUUUUUCAGGAGGGUCCUGAACAGAAAAUAAAAUCCUAUUUUUCAGGAGGGUCCUGAACAGAAAAUAAAAUCCUAUUUUUCAGGAGGGUCCUGAACAGAAAAUAAAAUCCUAUUUUUCAGGAGGGUCCUGAACAGAAAAUAAAAUCCUAUUUUUCAGGAGGGUCCUGAACAGAAAAUAAAAUCCUAUUUUUCAGGAGGGUCCUGAACAGAAAAUAAAAUCCUAUUUUUCAGGAGGGUCCUGAACAGAAAAUAAAAUCCUAUUUUUCAGGAGGGUCCUGAACAGAAAAUAAAAUCCUAUUUUUCAGGAGGGUCCUGAACAGAAAAUAAAAUCCUAUUUUUCAGGAGGGUCCUGAACAGAAAAUAAAAUCCUAUUUUUCAGGAGGGUCCUGAACAGAAAGUAAAAUCCCAUUUUUCAUGAGGGUCCUGAAUAUAAAGUAAAUUUCCAUUUUUCAGGAAGGUCCUGAACAAAAAGUACAAUCCCAUUUUCCAGGAGGGUCCUGAACAGAAAGUAAAAUCUUAUUUCCCCAAGAGGGUCCUGAACAGAAAGUAAAAUCCCAUUUUUCAGGAGGGUCCUGAANNNNNNNNNNNNNNNNNNNNNNNNNNNNNNNNNNNNNNNNNNNNNNNNNNNNNNNNNNNNNNNNNNNNNNNNNNNNNNNNNNNNNNNNNNNNNNNNNNNNGGAUGUGCAUUUCCAAUGGUAGCUGAAUUAAGUGGAAGCGAAUUUGCCCCUAUUUCAACAAGAAAAUUUGUCAGUUAAAAACUUAGUGGUGGCUUGCGGCACUUGGAUGUCCCGACACCUGCUCCAGUGUUCAUUCCCUUUAUUUUGUGUCAGAUUGCUGGCAUUUGCCCCUAUUUUGUCGUGUCAUUGACCCAAACUCAGAUUAUUAAGAGUGACUCCGAAAUAAACACAGUAUCUCUGCUUUGUCUUGCUUCUCAGAUAAACCCUUUAAACCUUGGUAUUUUCAUGAGUUCCCCAGCUUUUCUGUUGACAAAAAUUUUUGCAUGUCUUAUUCAACUCAUAAUCAUGUCUCUUUCAUAUGCUGACUUUGUCUUACUUUGUAUAAUUGAAGAAGCUAGUAGCCAGUUUUGAAAUCUUUUCUCACUUGUUUUGAUAUGGACUUGACUCAAAGACAAGAGAAAAAUGACAAUGACUUUUAUUUGGACCACUGACUCAAGAAAACAAAAUAAAAAUAAUGAGAAGAAAGAAAAGACAAUGAAUGUCCCCGUUGGAAACAAAGAAAUGAAAAAUUAAUCUAGAAAUGACAGUCAACUCUAAUGAUUUUGCCAUGCAUAUCAGAUUAAACUGCCUGAUCUUUCCAUCCAAAACCUUCUACCAAUUGUUGUUAAGUUAAUGACCUCGAAAUUGAGUUGCUUCCUUAGGUCAAUUGCAUUUAAGACCUCAUUCGGCUAGUGGCGCCUUGAAAGGUUUUUGCCAACAAGCCUCUCUUAUUUUCUUUUUCUCAGCUCACCAUUGCCCUAUGGUGUCCGUGAAGGUUUUUCACCAAUGAGACUCUUAUUUUUAUUUGUCUCAACUCACCGUCGUCUUACAGUGCCCGUGAGGGUUUUCACCGAUAAGACUCUCUUAUUGUUAUCUUUCUCAGCUUACCAUCAUCUUACAAUGUCUGUGAGGGUUUUCAUCGAUAAGACUCUCUCAUUUUUAUUUCUCUCUUGAUUCCUUAUACCGCGGAAGACAAGUAUUUACCAAAAUGCGUCAUCACAUCCAUUGCAUGCUUAGUCUUAACAUUCUCAAAGAUUGAUCUGAAGGUCUUUCUUUGGUUGUAACUUGGCUUUUGGACAGGGUUAGAAAGAAAGGAUGGAAUGGGGCCAAAACGACACUUGAAGUGGAUGACUCCAAAUUGUUUAUUGGGUGAGACUUACAACUUUUGAAAUCAACUCAAACAAUGAGGAUUACCUCAUGCCCUAGUUUCUUUUGACUGGGUGACUCUAAAUGGUUUAUUUGGUUGGACCGAGCCCCGAGUAGGUAAGCCUAUGUAUCUCACCCCCGACAGAGGAAAAUCAGGUCGCACGAGUUCCGACAACUUAUUUUGCAUGAUUUAGACUUUUGAUUCUUUUUCUUUUAUUGACACUCUUUUCUCUUUGAAUUUUUUUGACUCUAUUUUCCUUCACUUUUCUUUUCUCUUUUCUUUUUGGACAUUUUUUUUUCUUUUUUUUUGAAACUUUUCUGACACCAUUUUUUUUGUUCGACACUUCCUUUUUGAGCUUUGUUAACUCUAUCUUGAUUCCAAAAGAGGGCUAUGAAAGAAAUAGAACUAAAGCUAAAAUGGCGUAAACAAAGGAUGACAUAAUAUUUGGAUAGAAAAAUGAAAUGCCUUCGUCGAAUCAAUCCUUGAAGAUGCUAGUACAUAGCAUGUAAUGUGAAAGUGAAAUAUAAAGAUCAUGUGUGACACUUUAACAACACAAACUUUAACUGAGCAUGUGUGUCACUUCUUCCACUCUUGUCAAACAUACAACUCCACCUUUGUUGUACAUCCCUCACAUUGAAUGACUUAUGCUUUAGUGGAGUUGAUUUUUGUUCUGUUCCUUGGGAUCAUACAUCUGCUAUUUGACCUAAUUGUGCUAUGUUUUUCAAUUGAUGACCAAGUUAUUCUUAUGCUUCUCAAAAUAAUUUCCUUGAUUUUCAAAGAAAGCUUCAACUCAUCACCAAAUGUCUCAACACUCUACCUAUUUCCUCAGAUGUUUUUUCUAACUUUAGCCCUCUGAUUCAAAGUUCAUGCUUAAAACAGGACUUUAAGAUCAGGCUGAAAUUCCGCAGGCAUGUCAUAUCACUAAAGCCAACAUAAAAUGUACUAUGUAAAGGAAACAAACAAACAAACAACACAUAUUUAAAACACAAAGGAAAAAAGAACAUUCUCUUUAGUUGAAAUAAAAGAGAAAAGGGUUUGAACAUAAACGACAAAGGGACAAAACAAGAUAGAUCCCGAACUACAACCCUAAAGUAAUUCAAAAAAUAGAAAAGAAAACAAAACAAACUACCACACCUCUUCCUAGUAGGGAGAGGGGUGACUUCUCAAUUGCUCAGCCUAACAACUUAGCCACUGGUUUGCAUAUCAGCGUGACUAGAGCUUUCCUUACUGCCAAUGUUCUGCACCAUAAUUGAUCUAUCUUGAAUCAUCUUUUCAAUUUAUCUUUUCAAAGUCCGACAAUCUUCAAUACUGUGACCCUGAACAUCAGAAUGAUAUGCACAUCGUACACUAGGUUCAAAACUUCUUGAAUGCGGGUCAGGAGUAUACCCAAGGAGAGGAGUGAUCAUACCCCGCUCUACCAAUUUUUGAAAUAAGUUGGCAUAUGACUCUCCAAUUGGUGUGAAGCUAUCCCUCGAUUUUUGCCUCAUUUAAUUGUUUGGAUUGGAUCCAAAAUUAGGCCUAGAAAGGCUUUGAUAGAUUUGUAGAGUCGGAAGGUAACUAUGAGGAGUUGGUGCGUGUCAUUGUGAGUAAGAAGGGAGUUGAACAUAUGGUUGUGCGUAGUAUACUAGAUAUGGAAGUGCGGAAAUAAAGUAUAAUGGAUUGUAGGAGGGAUUGACGGCAACGACGACGUCGUCUUCUUGGAUGUGCCCGUUCCCCAACUACAAUAGCAACUGUAUCUUUCUUAUUCUUUUUCCCUCCAGUUUCCUUUAAUUGAUUGCAAUAUUGUCCCAAAUAUUUCACGAAUUCCUCCUAUCCAUCUUGCUCCUCAAAUUUUGACAUCUCGAAGAUUGGAGGAAGGUUAGCACUUAAAGGCAUGCCCCAAUCUUUAUAUGAAACAUCUUCUUUACCCGUUGGUCCUAGAGAAUUUUUCAUAGCAUUUUCUGCACUCUUCAUUUUUCCAACCAUUUUCUUCGACUCUUCUGGCACACUGGACUUCUUGUUAAGAAAUUUUGGUGGUCCAGUUAACUUAAAAGCAAGCUCAGGAGUAUAACAAUGAUCACCAGGAGUAUUGAAUAUAGGUUCACUAGUAGCAUGCGACGCACAACCGUUGGGCGAGCCAGUGUGGAAGUCCCAGUAGAGGAUUGAGCAACAAGAUCACAAAUAUCAUGUUGUGUUGUGAAUGUAGCAGGCUUAUGCUGAGGAGCUAGAGGAAAAGUAGUGGAAGUAUUGAGAUGCUUUUGGCUUGGAAUGAAUUUUGAGUCAUGUUGCGAUGCAUCAACAAAAGUAGAAAAUUGACUUGGAGAUUUUGGUGGAAAACUCGAGCUAUUUAUAGGAUCAAUAAAGGGAAAUGGAGGAGGAGAAAACCCACUGGGCCAAGCUUGAUGCAUUUCUGUCAUUUGUUGUCUAGCCUCUUAAUCUCUUGCUUCAAACUUUCUUUUUCCUGACUCUUUGUUUGAUCCAUGAUGUCAUUCUCUAUAUCCUUGUUGGACACAACUAACCGUUUGAAUUUGGUGUGAUGUGGAGCACCAACCAGAAUGCCACAAACCAACCACCUUAAAUUGACUCAACAAAAAACAACAAAUGUGUUAGAGUUCAACACUUUUUCAAAACCUCUUUUUCCUUCUUCUUUUUUUUUUAAAAUAUCACCGAACCCAAGAAGGGCACCUACAUAUCUCACUCCUGAGAUAGGAGAAUCAGGUGUGCGUAGUUCGUGAAGUCUUGCCAAAAUGGCCAAUCAAACUCUUUUCUUUUUCUUGAAACAAAGUGUCAAGAAUUGACGUAAAUCUUUUUUGCAUUUUUAGGUUUAAAUCCCUAUACAAAAUGAAACCUAUGAUUACCAAAGAAAAAUCUUUUGGAUUUUCAAUUUUGCAUUCAUACGUAAAUAAAACUUGAAACUAUUAAAGGAAAAUCUUUUUGAAGUUUUCUCUUGAAGAUGUAUAUGAAACACCUACUCUAAACGAAGAGUGAAUAAAAUAUUUUUUGAAUUUUUGAAAUAAUAUCCCCAAACCCACAAUAGGCUGCCUACAUAUCUCACUCCCGAGAGAAGAGAAUCAGGGGUGCGUAGUUCAUCCAGAUUAGACAAUUAAGUAUUAUAGAACAAACAGAACCUUGACUUAAGAGACAUGACUGCACGAUACAAAUAAAAUCUUUUUGGAUUUUUAAUUUGACACUUCAUACAAAAAUGACAUCAACAACUAUGAAAGAAAAAUAUUUUUGGUAUUUUCGUUAUACGAAAUGUAAAAAAUUUAUAACAUCUUUUUUUGCAUUUUUCUUUUAUAAAAACUCCUAUGAAUAAAUUAUUUUUUUUUGAAGUUUUCGAAUUGUGAAUGCAUGCUAAACGAGACAAAGGAAAAUCUUUUUGAUGUUUUUGAGAAAAUGAGUGCAAAAGGUAAAAAGAAAAAAUCUUUUUGAAUUGUUGAAUUGUGAAAAACAAAAGCCAUAAAAAACUCUAAAAACUACAAAACACUUUUUUUUUGACUCACUUGUUCUUCUAUUUUUUUCAACAAUUCUUGCCUACGCCCUUUACUUCUAACACCUGUUUUCCCCAAAUCAAUCCGUCAAAUGACCACGUUACCCUCAAAGAUGCAAUAUUUAGCACGUAGGGAUGCUUUAGAAGUGAGUCUCCUACAAAGAGUCACGUGGGUCCCGCUAGGUCUCAAUAUGAUGUAGAUAAGCAUGACCUAAAGGCCGACCUAUGUUGGGGUCUACUAACAAGGUUGCUUGGGAAGCGUAUGGUCGAUAGUGGAUUGCUUUAGCUGUCUACCUACUCCAUACAAACCAACGGCUCCCCCUCCUAACAUAAGAGUGACUCAACUAUAGGUCGUGUACAAACGUUACUAUAGACUUGUUUCAGAAAGAAAGACUCGGGUUAUUGUAACGCCUCGUAAUUUGGGCUACAAUAUGGACCAUAAUUUUGAUGUGUUGUUAAUCCCGAAGCCAUAAAAUCCUAUGCCAAUACGGCAUGAUAAUUAUCAUGUAUCAUGUGAAAUCCACUCAAUCUUGAAUUUAGACCAUAGAGGUCCUACAACUUAGGACGAGUCGAAACUAAUUUGAUCGACUAAGUUUUAGUGGAUGUUGUAAAGUGUGUCAGUUUCCUUCAACCAUAACUCUAUGUAUAUGUCGAAUUAGGGAACCUACUAUGUGUCAAAUGAUAGGUGUUCGAGUUAUCUUUCCAAUGAUACCAAUUUAGCUAAAAUCCGACAACCGAGCAAGAAGUUAUGACCUUUCAAAGUGAUAAGGCCCAUGGCCACUGGACAGCAUAGGCGAUAGCCUAGGCGGCAGCCUAUGUGAAUAUAGGUGAUAGCCUAGGUGGAGCCUAGGUGGAGCCUAUGUGAACAUAGGCGAUAGCCUAGGCGAUAGCUUAGGCGGCGCCUAUGUGAUCAUAGGCGAUGGGAUGGGCCGCGCCUAUGUAAGGAAUUCUAGUGAUUUAAACACUCCGUGUUGAGGACAAAGUGGUCCUUUUCCACCCUUGCUUAGCCCUAAAACACGAGAUUUAGUUCCAAGGACCCCAAAAUACAUAUUAUUUCAUCAAAAGUGCUCAAGUUUCUCCUUAGGGUUUCAAAAUAAAAACCCAAAUAGUUCAAGAUUCGACCGUAGGUUUUCGAAGAUAAUUACAUAUUAGAAAUCACCAAUUCGCAAGCUUCAAGAAACAUCUAUUGUCCUUGGAAAUAGAGGUACGUGGGGUUAUCCAAAAAUCUCAUGGGUGUAGUUUUAUGAACAUGAAUGUUUUUAAAUGGGGUUUUUCAAUCAAAUGCUAAUAUCUUGCUUUCAAUAUGAUUUCUAAGUCAUUUCCUGUAUGUCAUGGGAAUUGUUUACCUAUAUACUUCAAUGGUUGAAACCAUGCAUAUGUGAUUUGAGAUUUUCCAUGGAAGUUUAUAAAUAUGAAUGAUAAAUUGUUUUCAAAUUCCCAUGAUAAUGUUUCAAUACUCCAUAUUAUAUUGUGAUCAACAAAAGAGAGCAUGAAUUUGAAAUACAUAUUAUUCACCAUUUGUCAAUGAUGAAGCACCUUGGUUUUUACAUGAUUAUGCAUAUGUGGAUGUGACUUUGAUGACUUGCAAGUAGAGUAUGACGAUACCCUUCAAAAUAUGAUAUGCGAUUGAAUAAGAUGAAAUUUGAAUGCAUUGAUUUUACAUUAGAAAAGUGGAUGGCCGAAGAAAGCGUUUUAAGACACAAGCGGCUCAUCGUUGGAAGAACGUGUUUGCCGACACGGAAUAUCGGUACCAUGCUUUGUGGUCUUGCGUACCUGAUAUUAUAUUAUCCCAAAUUGGGAUUCUGGUUAGGAGCCAUGCUUCGUGGUCUUGUGCACUACCAUCUCGGCGGCAAUCGAGGUUUGACAGUUGUGUAAAUUAUGUAGGGUAUUCCACCUAGCUCAGUUGAAUUUCAUUAUUUAUGAGAAAAACUAUUGCAUUACACCACUGUGCUUUCAAAUGAUUUGAUACGAAAUUGCUUUAUAAUGGCUCUCAACUAUACUUUAUAAAAAUAUUAUGUUUUGUUUUGAUAUCUCUGCGUGCCAGUACUUUUGUGCUGACCCCCUCCCCUCUCCAACCUCUCAAGUUCAGAGGCCCAGUCUAGGGGUCAAGAGAACCAGUAGAUUUUUUAGACAGAGUUGCAGAGACAAGUGGUGAGCCUUCUAUGUUUCGGAAGGUCUUAUGUCCUGCAGUCCCUUUUAUCUUAUAUUAGUUUUGGGUCUGCUGGGGGCCUUGUCCCAGUUUUCAGAUAGUUACUUGUUUCAAUCAUAUAAUAGAGAUUUCGCAGAUGAUUUUCGAGAUAUUGAUUGGGAUUGUGGGACGUUACUCCCCAUUAUUGUUUUCAUAUGAUUCUUGACCAUGUUUUCGUUAUAUUGUGUUUCUUCCGCAUUACUUUGAACAUAUGAAUUUAUGUGCAUGAUUACCAGACAGAUAGGGGUGUUUCGGGCCUCCAUGGUUCGAAAUGCUCAUCAUGGCCAGGCCCUAGUUCGGGUCGUGACAGUUAUGCACAUGAUGUCAAAUAUAAAGUGGUAACAUAUAAAGUAAAAACUAUAAACAAAGAGCACGUAGGCACUCAACAAUGAUAAACAAUAACACAAAACAACACAAACAAAAUGUCUAUACACCUAUAGUGCCAAACUAAGCCGAUACAACUCCAAAAUAAGCUUGAAUUCUAAAAAUUCCCCAGCAGAGUCGCCAGAGCUGUCACACUCCUUUUUUAACUCCAAAAAGAUUAAUUUUAUUUUAAAGUUUGAAAGGGUUUUUAUUAUCAAAGUGACAAAAAUGAAGAUUUUUUUCGAAAAGGAUUAUUUACAUUUAAACUCAGAGUCGCCACUUGAAAUAAUCCGGUGUGCCAAGUCACCUUUGGAAAAUCCUUUUCAAAAUUGUUUUGACUCUUUUAAAACUGGUUUGCGAACAGAGAUUCCAGCUAAGGAAUUUUGUUGACCGAGGGAAAGGUGUUAGGCACCCCUCGAUCCCGUGGUUCGACCACGGUCGCUUGGUGGAGCGUAUCGGCUAAUUCGACACUAUGAAUGUACAAACCACACAAAAACACGAAAAACAAGCAAACAAACAGACAAAACAAAAUGAAUCUAAAUAUAGUGUCCAGUCCAAUUUAUACAGUCCAAAAUAGAAAAAUGCUAAGAUAAAUCCUAUCUAACCUAUACUAAUACUAACUACGCUCCUGCGCUUUACCUGACGCCUCUGGCCUUCCUCUCAAAUUCCUUCCACCAACAUAGUACGUCGGGGCAUUCCCCAGUAAACAAAUACAAUUCCUUUGGGGCAUUCCCCGACAAAUGAAUACAAUGUCAAUUUCAUGCGAUAAACUAGGAAACAUCCAACAAAUAUUCCCAACAUUCCAACAAUCCACCAAUUCUAAAUUUUUCCUACCCGAGCCUAUUUUUUGCCUACCUGCUCGAUGACAUAUAACGUUCAACAUCAACAAUGAAUCAAAAUACCAUAAUAUUCACUUUUAUCAAUUUUUGAUUUUCAACCCAAAUCCAUUCUAAACGCCACAAAUAGCAAUCACUAUUUCACAAUCCAUGCUCAUUUUAGUAACGAAUUUAAAUAACAAAACCAUAUCAAUGAAAUCAAGUCAUCAUAAUCAACCAACAUGUAACCAUAGCUAAUGCAACCAAUCAAAAUGAAUAAGAAAAUGGGUUAAAGAAAUGGACCUCAAUAGAAUGUUCUCGUAGAUAAUAAAGAAGUCCGAGACCGAAAUCCUCCAAAAUGGAACCCCAAAGAUGAACACACCAAAUCAAUAAUCCAAGAGUACCAACUGGUCCGAUUUCAACCAAGAAUAAAAACCCAAAACAGGAACAAAAUCGAUGAAUCCCCAAAGCUCGAUCCCGGCGACAGAAUACAAAAUCAGACAAACCCAAAAAACCCCAAUGCGCAGUAUCGAAAAUGAACCGCAAAGAAGACGAACUCGAAGCCUCAGAAAUGCCGUAGAAAGACUAAAAAAACGUAGCUUAAGCUCCGAUGAGCUAACACGAAGGUAAAGAACGACAAUCCGAGACGAUUUCCAAUGAACCUUAUUGUUUUCCGACCGGAUCCAACUCAGAAAUCAAAGAGGAAUAGAGGGAUUUUAGGAUGUAUUCGUAUCAUAGUGGAUUUUUAGCCCGUAGAAACAGAAAAUGACCAAAUCAGUCCCUUUGGUGACGAGUUCACCUAAAAGUGCUAACCCGCAGUGCCUCUCGAUCUAGUUUUUCUCUUCCUUCGCUACUCUCCACCUCUCUCUCUAUUCGAUGUGUGUGUGUGCGAGAUUUUUUAGUGUAUUAUAUGGGUGUACAGUGGUGAAUCAAAGAGAAUCAAGUGAUUGAGUAUCUCCUUUUUCGUUUUAUCCCUGAUGUGUGUGUAUUGAUGUAUGAAGAAAAGGGUAUGUCUGUUCAAUCAUGUUGCUGGGCAGAAAAUUUUUUGUGUAUGGGUGGGUAUUCUGGGAAGGUCUUGUAUGCAUAUGGGCUCCGUGAGUGUAUGUGAGGUGUCUUA